GACGAACGCUGGCGGCGUGCUUAACACAUGCAAGUCGAGCGGAAAGGCCCUGCUUUUGUGGGGUGCUCGAGUGGCGAACGGGUGAGUAACACGUGAGUAACCUGCCCUUGACUUUGGGAUAACUUCAGGAAACUGGGGCUAAUACCGGAUAGGAGCUCCUGCUGCAUGGUGGGGGUUGGAAAGUUUCGGCGGUUGGGGAUGGACUCGCGGCUUAUCAGCUUGUUGGUGGGGUAGUGGCUUACCAAGGCUUUGACGGGUAGCCGGCCUGAGAGGGUGACCGGCCACAUUGGGACUGAGGUACGGCCCAACCUGCUACGGGAGACAGCAGUGAAGGAUAUUGCAAAAUGGUCGGAAGCCUGAUGCAGCAGCGCCGCGUGCGGGAUGACGGCCUGCGGUUUGUAAACCGCUUUCGCCUGUGACGAAGCGUGAGUGACGGUAAUGGGUAUAGAAGCACCGGCUAACUACAUG
rnacentral:rRNA from 1 species